rnacentral:lncRNA from 1 species
CAAGCUGUCAAUGAAGAGAGCCUUUAGGAUCAGGUUGCCGGGAUCUAGGAUCAGGAUCAAAGAGGCUGGAGCAUGGGGAUGCUGGAUGCCUAGCAUGAGCCCAUUGGCUGUGUUUAACAAGUCCACUGUGACACAGGACUCUGGAGAGAGCAGGCUCUGUGGGACGUCUGCUGCUCAUCUUGGAAUUUACUGACUAUUCUCUCUGAGCUCUGAUUCCUUUUUAGUACAUCAAUGUAAAUAUUUUCCUUUCUUUGAUUUUCUAAUAAAUAUCUCAUUUAAGUAGAAUUAUGCA